AAAACGAAUAGAUUUGCCGUAGACAGUAGGUGCGAGAGCUUAAUUUCCUGCCGAGGUUUUAGAUAAAUGAAACUAGAGCUUUUAUGUCUACCAUUGUGUUAGAAAUAAAAGCUUUUUUAAUUG
rnacentral:sRNA from 1 species